GUAAAUAUGAUAGCAUGCUUAUUGUAGUUAUGUCAUAACUCGUUAUUUUAUAAUUUUUUAAAUAUAUCAAUUGAUAAUAUUUGCUCUCGACUUUAUUUUGACGUUACAUUCUUGGACACACCAUUAAUUUAAUAGGUUGAAUGCUUUUUUCCGAAAAUCUUUUAUCAUUUAAAAAUCAAUGUUAUCAUGUCAGAAAUAUCUAUGGCGUUGAGAAUAGGCUAUACCAAUUACUAUGGAAAUGUCUUUUCAAUUGGACCCAAGACUGAAGACCUUACAAUUUUAUAUCAAGGUGUAAAUUAUAAAUAUAAAGCAUUAAUUUAAUAGGUUGAAUGCUUUUUUACUGAAAAUAUUUCAUCUUUUAAAAACCAAUGUUAUCAUGUAAAAUUGGUUUUGAGUAUGACAUAUCAAUUGCUAUGGAAAUGUCUUUCCAAUCGGACCCAAGACCUUACAAUUAUAUAUCAAGGUGUAAAUUAUAAGUAUAAAACAUUUAUUUCUAA